rnacentral:rRNA from 1 species
AUUGAACGCUGGCGGCAGGCCUAACACAUGCAAGUCGAGCGAGCGGCGGAUGUGCGAGUAAUGUUUGGGAAACUGCUUGUUGGAGGGGGAUAAUCUUUGGAAACGUUAGCUAAUAUCGCAUACCUUCAGAUUUGUCCAGAUCGGAUUAGCUAGUAGGUGGGGUAAUGGCUCACCUAGUCGGCGAUCCCUAGCUGGUCUGAGAGGGUGACCGGCCACACUGGGACUGAGACACGGUCCAGACUCCUACGGGAGGCAGCAGUGGGGAAUAUUGCACAAUGGGCGCAAGCCUGAUGCAGCCAUGCCGCGUGUGUGAAGAAGGCCUUCGGGUUGUAAAGCACUUUCAGCGGGGAGGCGUUACGCGCAGGAGAAGCACCGGCUAACUCCGUGCCAGCAGCCGCGGUAAUUC